rnacentral:rRNA from 1 species
AACCAGUACCGUGAGGGAAAGGCGAAAAGAACCCCGGCGAGGGGAGUGAAAAAGAACCUGAAACCGUGUACGUACAAGCAGUGGGAGCACAGAGCAAUCUGUGUGACUGCGUACCUUUUGUAUAAUGGGUCAGCGACUUAUAUUCUGUAGCAAGGUUAACCGAAUAGGGGAGCCGAAGGGAAACCGAGUCUUAACUGGGCGUUAAGUUGCAGGGUAUAGACCCGAAACCCGGUGAUCUAGCCAUGGGCAGGUUGAAGGUUGGGUAACACUAACUGGAGGACCGAACCGACUAAUGUUGAAAAAUUAGCGGAUGACUUGUGGCUGGGGGUGAAAGGCCAAUCAAACCGGGAGAUAGCUGGUUCUCCCCGAAAGCUAUUUAGGUAGCGCCUCGUGAAUUCAUCUCCGGGGGUAGAGCACUGUUUCGGCAAGGGGGUCAUCCCGACUUACCAACCCGAUGCAAACUGCGAAUACCGGAGAAUGUUAUCACGGGAGACACACGGCGGGUGCUAACGUCCGUCGUGAAGAGGGAAACAACCCAGACCGCCAGCUAAGGUCCCAAAGUCAUGGUUAAGUGGGAAACGAUGUGGGAAGGCCCAGACAGCCAGGAUGUUGGCUUAGAAGCAGCCAUCAUUUAAAGAAAGCGUAAUAGCUCACUGGUCGAGUCGGCCUGCGCGGAAGAUGUAACGGGGCUAAACCAUGCACCGAAGCUGCGGCAGCGACACUGUGUGUUGUUGGGUAGGGGAGCGUUCUGUAAGCCUGUGAAGGUGUGCUGUGAGGCAUGCUGGAGGUAUCAGAAGUGCGAAUGCUGACAUAAGUAACGAUAAAGCGGGUGAAAAGCCCGCUCGCCGGAAGACCAAGGGUUCCUGUCCAACGUUAAUCGGGGCAGGGUGAGUCGACCCCUAAGGCGAGGCCGAAAGGCGUAGUCGAUGGGAAACAGGUUAAUAUUCCUGUACUUGGUGUUACUGCGAAGGGGGGACGGAGAAGGCUAUGUUGGCCGGGCGACGGUUGUCCCGGUUUAAGCGUGUAGGCUGGUUUUCCAGGCAAAUCCGGAAAAUCAAGGCUGAGGCGUGAUGACGAGGCACUACGGUGCUGAAGCAACAAAUGCCCUGCUUCCAGGAAAAGCCUCUAAGCAUCAGGUAACAUCAAAUCGUACCCCAAACCGACACAGGUGGUCAGGUAGAGAAUACCAAGGCGCUUGAGAGAACUCGGGUGAAGGAACUAGGCAAAAUGGUGCCGUAACUUCGGGAGAAGGCACGCUGAUAUGUAGGUGAAGUCCCUCGCGGAUGGAGCUGAAAUCAGUCGAAGAUACCAGCUGGCUGCAACUGUUUAUUAAAAACACAGCACUGUGCAAACACGAAAGUGGACGUAUACGGUGUGACGCCUGCCCGGUGCCGGAAGGUUAAUUGAUGGGGUCAGCGCAAGCGAAGCUCUUGAUCGAAGCCCCGGUAAACGGCGGCCGUAACUAUAACGGUCCUAAGGUAGCGAAAUUCCUUGUCGGGUAAGUUCCGACCUGCACGAAUGGCGUAAUGAUGGCCAGGCUGUCUCCACCCGAGACUCAGUGAAAUUGAACUCGCUGUGAAGAUGCAGUGUACCCGCGGCAAGACGGAAAGACCCCGUGAACCUUUACUAUAGCUUGACACUGAACAUUGAGCCUUGAUGUGUAGGAUAGGUGGGAGGCUUUGAAGUGUGGACGCCAGUCUGCAUGGAGCCGACCUUGAAAUACCACCCUUUAAUGUUUGAUGUUCUAACGUGGACCCGUGAUCCGGGUUGCGGACAGUGUCUGGUGGGUAGUUUGACUGGGGCGGUCUCCUCCUAAAGAGUAACGGAGGAGCACGAAGGUUGGCUAAUCCUGGUCGGACAUCAGGAGGUUAGUGCAAUGGCAUAAGCCAGCUUGACUGCGAGCGUGACGGCGCGAGCAGGUGCGAAAGCAGGUCAUAGUGAUCCGGUGGUUCUGAAUGGAAGGGCCAUCGCUCAACGGAUAAAAGGUACUCCGGGGAUAACAGGCUGAUACCGCCCAAGAGUUCAUAUCGACGGCGGUGUUUGGCACCUCGAUGUCGGCUCAUCACAUCCUGGGGCUGAAGUAGGUCCCAAGGGUAUGGCUGUUCGCCAUUUAAAGUGGUACGCGAGCUGGGUUUAGAACGUCGUGAGACAGUUCGGUCCCUAUCUGCCGUGGGCGCUGGAGAACUGAGGGGGGCUGCUCCUAGUACGAGAGGACCGGAGUGGACGCAUCACUGGUGUUCGGGUUGUCAUGCCAAUGGCACUGCCCGGUAGCUAAAUGCGGAAGAGAUAAGUGCUGAAAGCAUCUAAGCACGAAACUUGCCCCGAGAUGAGUUCUCCCUGACCCUUUAAGGGUCCUGAAGGAACGUUGAAGACGACGACGUUGAUAGGCCGGGUGUGUAAGCGCAGCGAUGCGUUGAGCUAACCGGUACUAAUGAACCGUGAGGCUUAACCUU